rnacentral:rRNA from 1 species
GAUGAACGCUGGCGGCGUGCCUAAUACAUGCAAGUCGAGCGAACGGAUGAGAAGCUUGCUUCUCUGAUGUUAGCGGCGGACGGGUGAGUAACACGUGGAUAACCUACCUAUAAGACUGGGAUAACUUCGGGAAACCGGAGCUAAUACCGGAUAAUAUUUUGAACCGCAUGGUUCAAAAGUGAAAGACGGUCUUGCUGUCACUUAUAGAUGGAUCCGCGCUGCAUUAGCUAGUUGGUAAGGUAACGGCUUACCAAGGCAACGAUGCAUAGCCGACCUGAGAGGGGUAAGGGCCAAACGGAACGGGAGACGGGUCCGAGACCCACAGGGGGGGCAGCUGUAGGAAAUUUGCCGAAAGGGGCGAAACCGGGCCGGACAAACCCCGCGGGAGGAAUAAGGGUCUGGGGUGCGAAAACCUUUUUUUUGGGGAAAAAACAUAUGGGUAAGUAACUGGCCAUACUUUGAGGUACCUAAAUAAAAAAGCCAGGGAAACUACGU